UUAAAUAAUUAUAACAAGAAAUAUAUACACACAUAUCUUGGAUAAAAUAUAAACAUGUGAAAUCUAGUUAAUAAUUAAUGAUUACAUAUAUAUUACUUCUUUAAAAUUAUUAAAUUACACAAGAUAUUUUAAAUUUUCAUUUAAUAGCACACUUUAUAAAAAAAAAUUACAAGAAGACAAAAUUCACAUUCUUUUGAAACAAGACUACUAAACAAGUUAAGGACAUCACAUUGUUGUUUAAGAAAAUCAUGAAGAUACAUACAGCUCUCAUGUGCAUAUUCAUCAUCUCCCUAUUUACUUUACAUCAGUGUGCAAGGACAGAUAUUAGAGAUAUAGAUAAAUCAAAACUAAUCAUAGACUCAAAUUGUAUGCGUACAAAAUGGUUUAAGAAAUGGGGUUGGUGUUGUGUAGCCUUAAAAGGUGAUCCUUGUUGGCCCGACCAAGCCGCAUGUGAUUCAAAAUGUCCUCGUCCUCAUUCUUCUUAGAGUAUAUAGUAAACUUUAUGUAUUAAAAGGGCUUAUUUACUGCAUGAAAAUAAUAAAUAAUAUUAAGUUACUAAUUUAUUUUAA